GACGAACGCUGGCGGCGUGCUUAACACAUGCAAGUCGAACGGAAAGGCCCUGCUUUUGUGGGGUGCUCGAGUGGCGAACGGGUGAGUAACACGUGAGUAACCUGCCCUUGACUUUGGGAUAACUUCAGGAAACUGGGGCUAAUACCGGAUAGGAGCUCCUGCUGCAUGGUGGGGGUUGGAAAGUUUCGGCGGUUGGGGAUGGACUCGCGGCUUAUCCGCUUGUUGGUGGGGUAGUGGCUUACCAAGGCUUUGACGGGUAGCCGGCCUGAGAGGGUGACCGGGCACAAUGGGACUGAGAGACGGCCCAGACUCCUAUGGGAGGCAGCAGUGGGGAAUAUUGCACAAUGGGCGGAAGCCUGAUGCAGCAACGCCGCGUGCGGGAUGACGGCCUUCGAGUUGUAAACCGCUUUCGCCUGUGACGAAGCGUGAGUGACGGUAAUGAGUAAAGAAGCACCGGCUAACUACGUG
rnacentral:rRNA from 1 species